ensembl:lncRNA
CAUCUUCUGGCCUGCGCACUCCUACACACAUGUGACGUGCCCUGCCACACACACAAAAGAGCAGGAUGGAGCAACAGAUUUCUCUUCUUUGUCUCUUGUAUAAUAUUUAUUUGAAGUGCUGUGGAUUGAAACCAGGACCUAGGGCAUUUUGGGUAAACACUGAAACACUAAACUAAAUACCUCACCCCAAUAUCUUUAUUUUUUUUAAUUUAUCCUUUGUUAAUGUUUGAAUAUGGUUAAACAUUUCAUUUAACCUAAGAGAUAGCUAGAUAUUAUAAAUAUGAGGAAAAAAGUAUACUUCACAAAACUUAAAUGAUUAAAAGUAAAUAUUGUUGGCUACUAUUUUUCUAAGCUUUUGUAUAUGUGCAUGUGUGUGUAUGUAUGAGAGACAGAGAGAGAAAGAGACAGACAGACAGAUGGACAGACAGACAGACAGAGCACAAAAAAACUUUACUUAACAUUUUUUUUCUAGCAAACACACUGAGAUCCCUAAUUCAGCUGUAGUUUGGGCCCAAAUCAAAAAAGCAGAGAGGAAGGUGGUGGGCGGCGGAUAGGAACAUCAAAGGCUGUGAAGGUGACUGUGGGUAAAGUGUUCGCCAUUCCAGUGUAGGACUGAAAUCUGGAACCUAUGUAAUAGCCAGGCAGAAACAGCAGCUGCCUACAAUGCCCAAGACAGGGUAAAAAGACAGGACCCCUGGGGCAAACUGGCUGGGUAGACUACCUGCGACUGGUGAGCUCCUAGUGAAGAAACUCUGUCUCAAUAAAUAAAGCAGGGGAGCAAUCAAGGUGGACACUGACAUCAACCUAGGACCCUCACAUGCACACACACGUACACACACCAUGCACACGCGCACACGAAAUCCAAUAAAAACUUUAAGAGUAAAGAUGUAGGGACUCUAUAGAGAUGCUGAUUCUCUGGUAUUUGUGUGUUCUGCCACUAUGUGUUUUGUUCAUAUCACACAUGAGUUUGUCUUCUUUUAUUAAACCAUUUCCUAACAUUAAGAUGCUGUCUUAGAUGUAGAGGAUACAAAUCCCUCUUGGAUUAGAACCUGCUUCCCCAUUUCUGACAGUCAGAUGUAUUGUUCAUCAUUCAUAUUCAUCCAUCUGCUGUAAGAAACUGUAACACAGGCACAAAGACAAGCAUCAGCAGGCCACCAGCCACAGGACUGUCAGUGAAGGUCAGCAGGCCACCAGCCACAGGACUGUCAGUGAAGGUCAGCAGGCCACCAGCCACAGGACUGUUAGUGAAGGUCAGCAGGCCACCAGCCACAGGACUGCCAGUGAAGGUCAGCAGGCCGCCAGCCACAGGACUGCCAGUGAAGGUCAGCAGGCCACCAGCCACAGGACUGUCAGUGAAGGUCAGCAGGCCACCAGCCACAGGACUGUCAGUGAAGAAGGAGCACAGGCCACCAGCCACAGGACUGUCAGUGAAGGUCAGCAGGCCACAACGCCCUGCAGAGCUCUGCCCUAUCUCCAGGAAGCACCUGGACUCAAAGGGCUGGCUUCCAUACUGAGUGCAGGAAGCCAGAAACCAGCCUAGUGCUGCCCAGUGUUUCACAGUUUUUAAAUAUUCAUCAAAGAUUGAAUUUCAUUAUAUUGUUUAUCUAUUAUAAUUUUAGCGGCAGUUUCAAGUAGCCCAGGCGGGCUUCCCACCUCUCUGAGGCCAAGGGUGAUCCUGUGUUCCAAUCCUGCUGCUUCCCUUUCCCCAGUGCUCGAGUCACAGGCAUGGACCACCUGCCCAGUUUUAUGAGGUGUUAGGGGUUGGACCUAGGACUUCAUGCAUGCUCUAGACAGGCAUCCUACCAGGCAACUACAUCAGCAUUUUUAUGAGAAUCCUAACAUACCAAUCUUUUAUUUGAAAUGCAUUUUUCAAUGACAACUAAUUCAAAAACUUGUUGGGAACCCAACAUGCGUCUUCCCGAUGGAGAACAAUCCACUCGGGACCAGUUUUAGCUUGGGGACGGCUCGUGUGAGAGUCUGGGACGAGCUGUCUCUAAGGUCUCUUUCUACUUAAACAGUUUUAUGAUUUUCAUUAAGCCAUGCUGAAGUUUAAAUCACAGCGGCACAAAUCCAAUUAAAAUCACAGCUGCAAAUGCCAGAACAAAGUCUCCAAGUCACAUGUACCUCGACAAAAACAGGUCCUCAGUGAAGCCAUUCAUCGUGUUCAAUAAAGUAGCUGGUAGCACAAGCUAGGAAGAUCGUUAAAUCUAAAUCAGGAAAUGGAUACAUUUAGUCCUGGGUAUAACUCUCUUGAGACUGGGGGAAAACAGGCGUGUGAUGUCGGUUCUGCCAUUAUCGACUGGGAGUUGCUUUCUUUUUCUGAAAUGGAAAGAUCAUGUGGGUGCUGGUGACACAUAAUCUCACAUCCCAGAGAGGAAAGUGCAAGCCCUUCCAGGACUUCACUGAGUCCUGUCAGAUCACAGUCCUAUGGCUUCCGCUGUGAUACCAUGCACAACUCUAACUGUGCUGUCUUCAGGUAUCUCAAAGCAUUCCCUGGGACCUAGCAAGAAAGUUCCAGAAAACAUG